rnacentral:tRNA from 1 species
GGGGAUGUAGCUCAGUGGUAGAGCACUUGCCUAGCAUAUAGAAGGCCAUGGAUUGAAUUACCACCACCUCCA